GGAAGACCGAAACAGUUCUGACGUGCAAAUCGAUUGUCAGAAUUGAGUAUAGGGGCGAAAGACCAAUCGAACCAUCUAGUAGCUGGUUCCUUCCGAAGUUUCCCUCAGGAUAGCUGGUGCAUUUUAAUAUUAUAUAAAAUAAUCUUAUCUGGUAAAGCGAAUGAUUAGAGGCCUUAGGGUCGAAACGAUCUUAACCUAUUCUCAAACUUUAAAUGGGUAAGAACCUUAACUUUCUUGAUAUGAAGUUCAAGGUUAUGAUAUAAUGUGCCCAGUGGGCCACUUUUGGUAAGCAGAACUGGCGCUGUGGGAUGAACCAAACGUAAUGUUACGGUGCCCAAAUUAACAACUCAUGCAGAUACCAUGAAAGGCGUUGGUUGCUUAAAACAGCAGGACGGUGAUCAUGGAAGUCGAAAUCCGCUAAGGAGUGUGUAACAACUCACCUGCCGAAGCAACUAGCCCUUAAAAUGGAUGGCGCUUAAGUUGUAUACCUAUACAUUACCGCUAAAGUAGAUGAUUUAUAUUACUUGUGAUAUAAAUUUUGAAACUUUAGUGAGUAGGAAGGUACAAUGGUAUGCGUAGAAGUGUUUGGCGUAAGCCUGCAUGGAGCUGCCAUUGGUACAGAUCUUGGUGGUAGUAGCAAAUAAUCGAAUGAGACCUUGGAGGACUGAAGUGGAGAAGGGUUUCGUGUGAACAGUGGUUGAUCACGAGUUAGUCGGUCCUAAGUUCAAGGCGAAAGCCGAAAAUUUUCAAGUAAAACAAAAAUGCCUAACUAUAUAAACAAAGCGAAUUAUAAUACACUUGAAUAAUUUUGAACGAAAGGGAAUACGGUUCCAAUUCCGUAACCUGUUGAGUAUCCGUUUGUUAUUAAAUAUGGGCCUCGUGCUCAUCCUGGCAACAGGAACGACCAUAAAGAAGCCGUCGAGAGAUAUCGGAAGAGUUUUCUUUUCUGUUUUAUAGCCGUACUACCAUGGAAGUCUUUCGCAGAGAGAUAUGGUAGAUGGGCUAGAAGAGCAUGACAUAUACUGUUGUGUCGAUAUUUUCUCCUCGGACCUUGAAAAUUUAUGGUGGGGACACGCAAACUUCUCAACAGGCCGUACCAAUAUCCGCAGCUGGUCUCCAAGGUGAAGAGUCUCUAGUCGAUAGAAUAAUGUAGGUAAGGGAAGUCGGCAAAUUAGAUCCGUAACUUCGGGAUAAGGAUUGGCUCUGAAGAUUGAGAUAGUCGGGCUUGAUUGGGAAACAAUAACAUGGUUUAUGUGCUCGUUCUGGGUAAAUAGAGUUUCUAGCAUUUAUGUUAGUUACUUGUUCCCCGGAUAGUUUAGUUACGUAGCCAAUUGUGGAACUUUCUUGCUAAAAUUUUUAAGAAUACUAUUUGGGUUAAACCAAUUAGUUCUUAUUAAUUAUAACGAUUAUCAAUUAACAAUCAAUUCAGAACUGGCACGGACUUGGGGAAUCCGACUGUCUAAUUAAAACAAAGCAUUGUGAUGGCCCUAGCGGGUGUUGACACAAUGUGAUUUCUGCCCAGUGCUCUGAAUGUCAAAGUGAAGAAAUUCAAGUAAGCGCGGGUCAACGGCGGGAGUAACUAUGACUCUCUUAAGGUAGCCAAAUGCCUCGUCAUCUAAUUAGUGACGCGCAUGAAUGGAUUAACGAGAUUCCUACUGUCCCUAUCUACUAUCUAGCGAAACCACAGCCAAGGGAACGGGCUUGGAAUAAUUAGCGGGGAAAGAAGACCCUUUUGAGCUUGACUCUAAUCUGGCAGUGUAAGGAGACAUAAGAGGUGUAGAAUAAGUGGGAGAUAUUAGACCUCGGUUUGGUAUCGUCAAUGAAAUACCACUACUCUUAUUGUUUCCUUACUUACUUGAUUAAAUGGAACGUGUAUCAUUUCCUAGCCAUUAUACGGAUAUAUUUAUUAUAUCUUAUGGUAUUGGGUUUUGAUGCAAGCUUCUUGAUCAAAGUAUCACGAGUUUGUUAUAUAAUCGCAAACAAAUUCUUUAAUAAAACGAUGCAUUUAUGUAUUUUUGAUUUGAAAAUUUGGUAUAACUCCAAUUACUCAGGUAUGAUCCAAUUCAA
rnacentral:rRNA from 1 species